UGGGGAAUUUUGGACAAUGGGCGAAAGCCUGAUCCAGCAAUGCCGCGUGUGUGAAGAAGGCCUUCGGGUUGUAAAGCACUUUUGUCCGGAAAGAAAUCCUUGGCUCUAAUACAGUCGGGGGAUGACGGUACCGGAAGAAUAAGCACCGGCUAACUACGUGCCAGCAGCCGCGGUAAUACGUAGGGUGCAAGCGUUAAUCGGAAUUACUGGGCGUAAAGCGUGCGCAGGCGGUUUGCUAAGACCGAUGUGAAAUCCCCGGGCUCAACCUGGGAACUGCAUUGGUGACUGGCAGGCUAGAGUAUGGCAGAGGGGGGUAGAAUUCCACGUGUAGCAGUGAAAUGCGUAGAGAUGUGGAGGAAUACCGAUGGCGAAGGCAGCCCCCUGGGCCAAUACUGACGCUCAUGCACGAAAGCGUGGGGAGCAAACAGGAUUAGUACCCUGGUAGUCCACGCCCUAAACCGAUGUCAACUAGUUGUUGGGGAUUCAUUUCCUUAGUAACGUAGCUAACG
rnacentral:rRNA from 1 species